GGGGACGUCAUGAUCAUCAAAAGAAAGAACGUACUAGUUGACUGUAGGAAACAUAGAAAACACGAGAAUAGGAAGCCAGUUUUUGGGAAAGAAUUGAUAAAACUCUUCGUCGACCAUCGCAAGGAUUUUCAAGCAUUCGAUGUUGUGUCCAUCUCUCUGUGUUCUGUUAAUUGUUUGCUUGCAUGAGUUGUUUUUCCUGGUUAAUGAGCGAACAGGGUUGCAAUUCAAAAUUGAAUGUAUAUAAUUUGAACUUUUAACUAAAUCCUUAAUUUCAGUAGCAAAAACUCACGGUUUUCUUUUUGUUCUUGCCAAUCCG
rnacentral:lncRNA from 1 species